rnacentral:pre_miRNA from 1 species
UGCCUGCUUUUCAGGUACGUCCGACAUUAUAAUUCAAGAGCCGGCUGCUGGAGUAUAUGCAGAAAACACCUAUGCCCAUGCCUCUUUACGAGAUUACACAAGAAGGGCCUCUCCAUAAACCCCUGUUCAAAUCAACUGGCUCUUGAACAUUAUAAUCUCCGACGUAGCUGAGAAAAGGGGA